rnacentral:rRNA from 1 species
GAUGAACGCUGGCGGCGUGCCUAAUACAUGCAAGUCGAGCGAACAGAUGAGGAACUUGCUCCUCUGACGUUAGCGGCGGACGGGUGAGUAACACGUGGAUAACCUACCUAUAAGACUGGGAUAACUUCGGGAAACCGGAGCUAAUACCGGAUAAUAUAUUGAACCGCAUGGCUCAAUAGUGAAAGACGGUUUUGCUGUCACUUAUAGAUGGAUCCGCGCCGCAUUAGCUAGUUGGUAAGGUAACGGCUUACCAAGGCAACGAUGCGUAGCCGACCUGAGAGGGUGAUCGGCCACACUGGAACUGAUACACGGUCCAGACUCCUACGGGAGGCAGCAGUAGGGAAUCUUCCGCAAUGGGCGAAAGCCUGACGGAGCAACGCCGCGUGAGUGAUGAAGGUCUUCGGAUCGUAAAACUCUGUUAUUAGGGAAGAACAAAUGUGUAAGUAACUAUGCACGUCUUGACGGUACCUAAUCAGAAAGCCACGGCUAACUACGUG